CGAGAGGGAAGGGAAUUGAAUUACUUGUACAAGAAUGCAUCGAUAUGAUCAUCCAACAGAACAAACUUGGGAUUGGGAGCGGAAAUGGAGACAAGCACAAUUUGGAUCCAACACAACGCAACAGAUUGGUCGGAGUUAGAGAGACUCUCGAGUCUGGCUGAAAAAGUGUAGUGAGAGAUGAUUAGGUGCUACGCGGCCC